rnacentral:rRNA from 1 species
GACGAACGCUGGCGGCGUGCCUAAUACAUGCAAGUAGAACGCUGAAGCUUGGUGCUUGCACCGAGCGGAUGAGUUGCGAACGGGUGAGUAACGCGUAGGUAACCUGCCUCUUAGCGGGGGAUAACUAUUGGAAACGAUAGCUAAUACCGCAUAAAAGACGAUAUCGCAUGAUAUUGAUUUGAAAGGUGCAAUUGCAUCACUAAGAGAUGGACCUGCGUUGUAUUAGCUAGUUGGUGAGGUAACGGCUCACCAAGGCAACGAUACAUAGCCGACCUGAGAGGGUGAUCGGCCACACUGGGACUGAGACACGGCCCAGACUCCUACGGGAGGCAGCAGUAGGGAAUCUUCGGCAAUGGGGGCAACCCUGACCGAGCAACGCCGCGUGAGUGAAGAAGGUUUUCGGAUCGUAAAGCUCUGUUGUAAGAGAAGAACGAGUGUGAGAGUGGAAAGUUCACACUGUGACGGUAACUUACCAGAAAGGGACGGCUAACUACGUGCCAGCAGCCGCGGUAAUACGUAGGUCCCGAGCGUUAUCCGGAUUUAUUGGGCGUAAAGCGAGCGCAGGCGGUUAGAUAAGUCUGAAGUUAAAGGCUGUGGCUUAACCAUAGUACGCUUUGGAAACUGUUUAACUUGAGUGCAAGAGGGGAGAGUGGAAUUCCAUGUGUAGCGGUGAAAUGCGUAGAUAUAUGGAGGAACACCGGUGGCGAAAGCGGCUCUCUGGCUUGUAACUGACGCUGAGGCUCGAAAGCGUGGGGAGCAAACAGG